UGGGGAAUUGGACAAUGGGCGAAAGCCUGAUCCAGCCAUGCCGCGUGUGUGAAGAAGGCCUUUUGGUUGUAAAGCACUUUAAGUGGGGAGGAAAAGCUUAUGGUUAAUACCCAUAAGCCCUGACGUUACCCACAGAAUAAGCACCGGCUAACUCUGUGCCAGCAGCCGCGGUAAUACAGAGGGUGCAAGCGUUAAUCGGAAUUACUGGGCGUAAAGCGCGCGUAGGUGGUUAUUUAAGUCAGAUGUGAAAGCCCCGGGCUUAACCUGGGAACUGCAUCUGAUACUGGAUAACUAGAGUAGGUGAGAGGGGAGUAGAAUUCCAGGUGUAGCGGUGAAAUGCGUAGAGAUCUGGAGGAAUACCGAUGGCGAAGGCAGCUCCCUGGCAUCAUACUGACACUGAGGUGCGAAAGCGUGGGUAGCAAACAGGAUUAGAUACCCUGGUAGUCCACGCCGUAAACGAUGUCUACCAGUCGUUGGGUCUUUUAAAGACUUAGUGACGCAGUUAACGCAAUAAGUAGACCGCCUGGGGAGUACGGCCGCAAGGUUA
rnacentral:rRNA from 1 species